UACGGGAGGGGCAAGCGUUGUUCGGAAUUACUGGGCGUAAAGGGCUCGUAGGUGGCCAACUAAGUCAGACGUGAAAUCCCUCGGCUUAACCGGGGAACUGCGUCUGAUACUGGAUGGCUUGAGUUUGGGAGAGGGACGCGGAAUUCCAGGUGUAGCGGUGAAAUGCGUAGAUAUCUGGAGGAACACCGGUGGCGAAGGCGGCGUCCUGGACCAACACUGACACUGAGGAGCGAAAGCCAGGGGAGCAAACGGG
rnacentral:rRNA from 1 species